GGAGGCGGAUCUGGCCGGCGUUCGGUCGGUGAGGUGAUAAAGACGCACACCAGAAGCCCCGUGACCUAGCCGCAUCCUCCUCUUACGCACCCUCGUCCACCGUGGCCACCGCCGAGACAGCCUCAGGACCUCUCCUCUGCCUGACAGACAGUGAGGAACUGCUGGGCCCAGAGGUCCGACAUCGGAGCAGGGCUGCUCCUCACCAGGAAACAGCUGCCAAAGAAUGGUUGAUGCCCAUUUUCUGUUGAAAGAUUUCAAGGGUCCACAUUUCUUGAGGAGGGAGUGUGAGAGCAGGCACAUAGCCAGACCUGAGCUGGGAUGGGGGCGGUAUUUGGCCGAUGUUCACAUUCAGCUAGAUGCUUGCUUACAUUCUAUGCAUUCUGUGUAAGCAGUUCUCACGGGAUGAGGGGAGUGAGAAUAUAGAUAACAGACUGGCCGAAACCGGCUGGUUCCAACAUGGUGGAGAAAUUGACCCAAAUUCCACCCCCAAAUCUAUUUGCAUGGUAAAAAUCAAUCACACCUCCCUGAAUCAUUACGGUUCCAAGAAAAACCAAACAGAGCCCAAACCCCCCCACCCCACGUAAGGGUGGAGCAAGCAUGAACCCUGAAAAAACUCCAUCUGUUCCCUUUGAAACUUAACCCCACUUAGUAAAUAGUCAUCUCCCUUUGCAGAAAAGGCUCCCUGUUGUUCCCUUCUUCAGCUCUGUCUGGGUCUGCCUGUGCCCCACUCUCAGGCCUGUACUUUGCCUUUCUCAGGAUUCUUGUUUUCCAAAUAAACUCUUAAUGUCCAAUCA